GACGAACGCUGGCGGCGUGCUUAACACAUGCAAGUCGAGCGAUGAAACUUCUUCGGAAGUGGAUUAGCGGCGGACGGGUGAGUAACACGUGGGCAACCUGCCUUGUAGAGGGGAAUAGCCUUCCGAAAGGAAGAUUAAUACCGCAUAACAUUUGAAAAUCGCAUGGUUUUCAAAUCAAAGAUUUAUCGCUACAAGAUGGGCCCGCGUCGCAUUAGCUAGUUGGUGAGGUAACGGCUCACCAAGGCGACGAUGCGUAGCCGACCUGAGAGGGUGAUCGGCCACAUUGGAACUGAGACACGGUCCAGACUCCUACGGGAGGCAGCAGUGGGGAAUAUUGCACAAUGGGCGCAAGCCUGAUGCAGCAACGCCGCGUGAGUGAUGAAGGUCUUCGGAUUGUAAAGCUCUUUGAUUAGGGACGAUAAUGACGGUACCUAAAGAACAAGCCACGGCUAACUACGUGCCAGCAGCCGCGGUAAUACGUAGGUGGCAAGCGUUGUCCGGAUUUAUUGGGCGUAAAGGGAGCGUAGGUGGACCUUUAAGUCAGAUGUGAAAUACCCAGGGCUCAACCCGGGUGCUGCAUUUGAUACUGGAGGUCUAGAGUGCAGGAGAGGAGAGUAGAAUUCCUAGUGUAGCGGUGAAAUGCGUAGAGAUUAGGAAGAACAUCAGUGGCGAAGGCGACUCUCUGGACUGUAACUGACACUGAGGCUCGAAAGCGUGGGGAGCAAACAGGAUUAGAUACCCUGGUAGUCCACGCCGUAAACGGUGAAUACUAGGUGUAGGUGCUAUAAACGCAUCUGUGCCGUCGCUAACGCAUUAAGUAUUCCGCCUGGGGAGUACGGUCGCAAGAUUAAAACUCAAAGGAAUUGACGGGGACCCGCACAAGCAGCGGAGCAUGUGGUUUAAUUCGAAGCAACGCGAGGAACCUUACCAGUCUUGACAUCCCAAUGACCGCUAUAGAGAUAUAGUUUUCCUUCGGGACAUUGGUGACAGGUGGUGCAUGGUUGUCGUCAGCUCGUGUCGUGAGAUGUUGGGUUAAGUCCCGCAACGAGCGCAACCCCUAUUGUUAGUUGCCAUCAUUAAGUUGGGCACUCUAGCGAGACUGCCGGUAAUAAACCGGAGGAAGGUGGGGAUGACGUCAAAUCAUCAUGCCCCUUAUGACCUGGGCUACACACGUGCUACAAUGGGAAGUACAACGAGUCGCAAGCCGGUGACGGCAAGCUAAUCUCUUAAAGCUUCUCUCAGUUCGGAUUGUAGGCUGCAACUCGCCUACAUGAAGUCGGAAUCGCUAGUAAUCGCGGAUCAGCACGCCGCGGUGAAUACGUUCCCGGGCCUUGUACACACCGCCCGUCACACCACGAGAGUUUGUAAUACCCGAAGUCGGUGGGCUAACCUUUAAGGAGGCAGCCGCCUAAGGUAGGAUAGAUGAUUGGGGUG
rnacentral:rRNA from 1 species